ACCAUGAUACCGUCCUUCAUUGUAAAUGUGCUCGUUUGGUCAGCAUAUGUGAUUACUGUUGAUGCGACAUCGUGUGGCGGCACAUUUAAAUCAAAUUAUGGGGAGAUAAAUAGUUCAAAUUAUUCUUCCAACAAUGGAUACAAUCUCUCUUGUGUUUGGAGAAUAGAGGGCGCCAUCGGUAGUAGACUUGUGAUUGGCUUUAAAAACUUCUCACUCGGAAAUCAAACUGGUUGCGGCGAGGAGUACAUUGAGAUUCGACAUGGAAAUGGUUCUUCAUCAAAAUAUUGUGGGUCAAAAAUACCAGAAAAAGUGAUUACUCAAAGUCAAAAUGCUUCCAUAGUAUUUGUUACAAAUCACUAUACAAAUCUUAGUGGUUUUAAUCUCUAUUGGAAAGUAUUUACCAAACCGGUGCUAAUUACCAGCCCGGUUUCAUGGGAGUUAGCCAAUAAAGAAUGUGAACGAAACGGUGGCAAACUCAUGGAACCAGACUUGGAUUACUUAGACACAUAUAGAGAGAGCAUAAGUGAGUGGAUGGAGGCUAACACAAUAUCAGAAAUAUGGGUACGAAAAUACUUCACACCGUGGGUUUUCCUCAAAGGUUGUACAAGUGAAUACUAUGUUCAUCCGCAAAUGAAAUACAUAGUAAAGAACAAUCAGCAGAAGAUUUGCCAAAACGUGUGUUCUGGUUACAAUUACUUUGGACUUCAGAAACGCAAUUGUGUGUGUUUGAAUGACGUUUUUUCGUCCAAUGAUUCAUGUUCAUACCGUUGCGACGGCAACACUGACGAAAUGUGUGGAGGGAAUUAUGCGUAUACUGUGUAUAAAAACAACUUUUGCUACACGUCAUCCAAAUCUUGGAAUGGGACACUCACUCAAAACAUAUUCGGAUCUUCAUGUUUGCCUUGGAAUCAAACCUCCUUAAAACACAGCACCUUUCCCGAUGGUUCUGCAAACGAUGCCAAAAAUAAUUGCAGAGAUCCGAGUGGAUAUGGUGCACCCUGGUGCUUUCAUAAUAGUGCUUAUUGGGCUAGGUGUGAUGUUUUUAAAU